rnacentral:rRNA from 1 species
GGUAAUACGGGAGUGGCAAGCGUUAUCCGGAAUUAUUGGGCGUAAAGCGUCCGCAGGCGGUCUUUAAGUCUGCUGUUAAAGCGUGGAGCUUAACUCCAUUUCGGCAGUGAAAACUGGAAGACUAGAGUGUGGUACGGGCAGAGGGAAUCCCGGUGUAGCGGUGAAAUGCGUAGAUAUCGGGAAGAACACCAGUGGCGAAGGCGCUCUGCUGGGCCAUAACUGACGCUCAUGGACGAAAGCCACGGGAGCGAAAGGGAUUAGAUACCCCUGUAGUCCUGGCCGUAAACGAUGAACACUAGGUGUCGGGGGAAUCGACCCCCUCGGUGUCGUAGCCAACGCGUUAAGUGUUCCGCCUGGGGAGUACGCACGCAAGUGUGAAACUCAAAGGAAUUGACGGGGGCCCGCACAAGCGGUGGAGUAUGUGGUUUAAUUCGAUGCAACGCGAAGAACCUUACCAGGGUUUGACAUCCUGCGAAUCCCUUGGAAACGAGGGAGUGCCUUCGGGAACGCAGUGACAGGUGGUGCAUGGCUGUCGUCAGCUCGUGUCGUGAGAUGUUGGGUUAAGUCCCGCAACGAGCGCAACCCACGUCGUUAGUUGCCAGCAUUCAGUUGGGCACUCUAGCGAGACCGCCGGUGAUAAACCGGAGGAAGGUGUGGAUGACGUCAAGUCAUCAUGCCCCUUACAUCCUGGGCUACACACGUACUACAAUGCUACGGACAAAGGGCAGCAGACUCGCGAGAGCUAGCAAAUCCCAUAAACCGUGGCUCAGUUCAGAUCGUAGGCUGCAACUCGCCUACGUGAAGGAGGAAUCGCUAGUAAUCGCAGGUCAGCAUACUGCGGUGA